rnacentral:rRNA from 1 species
UUUUGUAGCUAUAUCCUGUUUCAGCAGACAGGAGCAGUGGCUGUUCUCAGAUGAUCUCAAAAAAGCUAAGCAGGGUCAAGCUGGGUUAAUACUUGAAUGGGAUGCCUCUGGAAAAUCCCAGUGCUAUAGUUA